GCAAUCCUUCGGGGCGGGGUGAAAUUCCCCACCGGCGGUGAUGGCGCAUGCCUCAGUCCGUGACCCGCAUACGUUGCGGUGGAUCCGGUGAAAUUCCGGAGCCGACAGUGAAAGUCUGGAUGGGAGAAGGAUGUG
rnacentral:ncRNA from 2 species